rnacentral:rRNA from 1 species
UACCUGCAGCUCGAGUGGUGAUCGUUAUUAUUGGGCCUAAAACGUCCGUAGCCGGUCUUAUAAAUGCCUGGGUAAAUCGUAUGGCUUAACCAUACGAAUUCCGGGUAGACUGUUUGACUUGAGACCGGGAGAAGCUAGAGGUACUCCUUGGGUAGAGGUGAAAUUCUGUAAUCCUAGGGGGACCACCAGUGGCGAAGGCGUCUAGCUAGAACGGGUCUGACGGUGAGGGACGAAGCCCUGGGGCGCAAACGGGAUUAGAUACCCCGGUAGUCCAUGGUGUAAACGCUGCUUGCUUGAUGUUAGUCUGGUUCCGAGCCAGAUUAGUGUCGGAGAGAAGUUGUUAAGCAAGCUGCCUGGGAAGUACGGCCGCAAGACUGAAACUUAAAGGAAUUGGCGGGGGAGCACAGCAACGGGUGGAGCGUGCGGUUU